GUUUUCCGUGCAGUGUCCAGCAAGAUGCAAAUUCUCAAGGCUAAUAGAGGAACACAGGAAAAUUUCUCCCUUCUGAUGCUCCUUCUUAAUUUGGCAUUUGGAAAGCUGACCUGGUUAUUGAACAUAUCUCUGUGGUAAAAAAAUAAAAUAUAACUUCCUUGGUGCUGCUAUUUUCUCACAGACUGCAUAGAUCUUCAUUCCCAGCUCUGCUUUUCAAGGGGAAGUAUUUUGGAGGAAGUAAAGCACUGCUGGCAUUUCUGUGGGAGUUCCCUCUUCACUUUGUUCUGACUGGGACAAAAUCCGGAUCAGGAGCAACGAGUGCAUGGAAUUAGGACUGAUAGCAGCACUGACCAUGAAAACUUCCUUACAGACAGUCAGGGUUUGGGAAAAGCCAAUUAUCAAUGAUCUAUGCAUGUUUAAGUUUGGAGUAAUCAAAGCAUGGCAUCCUCAAGACCUGUCAUCAGCCAGGAAAGUUUUAUUCUGGUAUAAUGCCUUUGUUUACAAAGACUCUGGCUUAGAAGACAGCAUAAUUUUAUUAAAAGUCUGACAAUUUAUUCCUGUGAGCACUCCACAGUCACAGUAAUUCAUUAUAUUUUUCUACCAACCUGAUAUAAAUAAAAUCUGAAAAAAUAGUGAAUAUAUGAAUAAUGAUUAUAUCUUCUAGAAUAAAGGACAUCAGUGGCAA